rnacentral:lncRNA from 1 species
UUAGUGGGGGUAUGGGCGGUUUUAAAUAUAUAUUAUUAUUAACAAUUUUAUUUUCCCAAAAUCACUCCCUCCCAACGGUUCAUGUUUUUCCACUUUUCUCGAAAAUUGUUUUUACAUUUAUUCCUUUCCUUAAUAUCUUCUUCUCUUUCUUUCUUCUUUUUUUUCCUUUGUUUAUUUUUGUGAUUUUCCUUUGUUUUUGUUUCACUUUUGUUCUUUAUUCUUGUCCAUCGUCAUACGUGCAUGUUGUGGCAUUACUAAUCUUCAGAGUAGGUAAGUUUGGUGUAAGUAAAUUUGAUUUCAAUGGGUGUUAAAGGUUGAGGUUGUGUUGGCUUGUGGUUUAUGAUAUGGUGUGCUAUAAAUUUUUUAGGAAUGAUGGCUUUAUUUUUCUAAAUAGGAGAAGAAUGAAUGAUGUUAGAAGAACCUCUAGCAAAUUAAACUUUGUAACGACUUAGGUCGCUGUUAGUUUGAGGAUUCAAAGUGUAUGAUUGUGUGGUUGAUCAAUCUCGUUGUCAAAUUUGU